AGAAAAAUAAAACAUCUAAAUUUAAAUUUUCAGCAAUGCACUUUUUCUUAUGUUAGUAGGAGAGAUAAUCAGGUUGCAGAUGCAGUUGCUAAAUCGGUUAGAAGCACUGCUAUAGACAUCAACCUCUCUAAUAAUUUCCCCUCUGAAUUUUGAGUCUCCUGGCAAGAGACAAUCACUCUUAAAUCAGUUACAUUUUCUUUAUAGAGGUCGGACCUUCACCACCACCACUACCGGAAUAACCAGCAACUCCAUCGCCACCAUCUCCUCCGUAACCUGUACCACCACCGUGGAACCAUAUACCUGAGCAUUUCGUAUUUCCGUUUCUUACUCACCACCAGCACCACCACCUUCUUCCUCCACCUCUUUCAGUCUCGAAUUCUACCCUCCACCUCCAGCAACACCAUCACCACCAUUACAGAUUUUUUUUUUUAACAUUAGCUCAAUUCUAUUUCAAUUCAUACCAGUUCAAUUGGAUUUCAGUCCAUGCCAAUUUCGAUUCUGAUAAUCCCCAGCAUCAUUACCAGCACCAGGCCAAGUUUGCCAAGUCUCACCAAGGAGAAAUUCAGUUUGCGAGGUCAGUGGUCACCAAGAUUCUAGGAUCAGAAUUACAGUGGUCAUAUCCUCAUCAAUCAGAAGAAGGGCUGUGACUAAAGUAAAAGAAACUCCUGCUGGAUCUCUGUCAGUAUUACCAGACUAAAUAUAUAUAAGGAAAUAUGGUGGUAGGACAAUCCACAACUAAGCUGAUCUAGUAGAAGCAAGCAGAUAUCAAAACUCAGAAGCAAGCAGAUAUUUAUUUAUUUUUUCAAUGGAAGACUUUUAUGAAGAUAUCCAAUUAGAAAAUCCUUCUCAUGUUUCUGUUGAAUCUGUCUUUCAUAAGAUGGAAGAUUUUCAUGAAGAUAUUCAAUCCAAAAUUCUUUCUCAAGUUCCUGAUGAAUCUGUCCUAAAUUGCAAACUAGUCUGCAAAAGAUGGCAACAAACUUCUUUCCAACAGAA